AUUAGUCUUCACAUUUUCUUGUUUCUGUUAUUAAUAGUUGUAGAAAAUUCAAAUACAGCCAGAGAUACCAUUUGACCCGGCAAUCCCAUGACUAGGUAUAUACCCAAAGGGUUAUAAAUCAUUCUAUUAUAAAGACACAUGCACAUUUAUGUUUAUAUAAAAAAAGGAAUGUUAAUUUCCUAUUAUUUAUUGGUAUCCUAGUAAAGAUACAAAAAUUUUAAAAAUAUUUUUGCAUAUCCUUCUGCUCUUUCUUCUGAAUGUGAGACUAUGCCGAACUUUGCUCCAGUAACAAGUAUUUCUUCAAAUAUCUGAUUGCUGUUUUGCAUCCCAACCCAUACUGGAUGUAAUAAUCAUCCUUCUCCUCCUUGUAUGGCCCAUCCCUCUUAUUGGCUGGAAGACUUAUCCUUUAAGUCUUAAAUCCAAGAUGUUCUCUUUUUUUCAUGCAUUUGUGAGAUUCUUAGAAACCUCGGCUAUUUUCAUGCUUUGUAAUUUUCUGAUCCAAAGUGGAUGCCUAAUAAAUAUUUGUUCAAUUAAUGGACAACUUAAUAAAUUAAUGAGCAAUCUUUCUAAAAAAAAUGUAUUGAGGUAAGAUUUAUGUUCUAUAAAAGUCAUCCUUUUCAAAUGUUGAAUUCAGUGAUUCCUAGCAUAUUUGGGGUUGUGCAGAUUCUACCUCAAUCUAAUCUUAGAACAUUUUCAUUGCCCCCAAAAACUAGUACUAAUUAGUGAUUCUUAACCAUUUUACCCCACUCCACUAGUCUGCUUUCUGUCUCUGUGGAUUUGCCUAUUGUAAACAUUUCAUAUAAAUGGAAUCAUACAAUAUCCGGUCCUUUGUGACCAGCUUCUUCCUCUUAGCAUAGUGUUUUCAAUGUCAUUCAUGUGGCAUGUAUCAGUACUUCAUUCCUUUUUAUUGCUGAGUAAUCUAAUUUUGAAUGGAUAUGCUUAGGUUGGUACAAAAGUACUGUAAUCACGAUUUGUGGCAAAAACUGUGAUUACUUUUGCACCAACCUAAUGUUUUCCUUAUGAUUCAGUUAAUGGACAUUUAAGUUGCUUCCAAGCCUACUUUAAAGAAUGCUGCUAAGAGCAUCCGUGUACAAGUCUUCGUGUGUACAUGUGUGUCAUUUCUCUUUGGGAGUUAUCUUGGAGUGGAAUUGCUGGGCCACAUGGUAACUCUAUGUCAGACUUGUUGAGGAUCUGCCAAACUUUUUUCCAAAGUAGUUGUGCCAUUUUUAUCAUGCCCCCCAACAAGGCAUGAGGGUUUCCAUUUCUGUGCAUCCUCAACAGCACUGCGAUGGUCUUUUUCAUUGCAGCCAUUGUAGUGGAUGUGAAGUGGUAUCUCAUUGUGGUUUUGCGUUGCAUUUUCCAAAUGACUGAUGAUAUUUAGCACCUUUUCAUGUGCAUAUUGACCAUUCAUACAACUGUGGAAAAGUAUCUAUUCAGAUUGUUCUAUUGAGUCAUAAGAAUUUUUAUAUAUUCUGGAGAUAAUUUUUAUUAGAUACACGCUUUGAUAAAGAGUUUCUCUGAGU